rnacentral:rRNA from 1 species
UUAAGCCAUGCGAGUCGAACGAGUUUAGGCUCGUGGCGUACGGCUCAGCAACACGUGGAUAACCUACCCUUAGGACUGGGAUAACCCUGGGAAACUGGGGAUAAUACUAGAUAGGCAAUUUUUCCUGGAAUGGUUUUUUGUUUAAAUGUUUUUUCGCCUAAGGAUGGGUCUGCGGCCGAUUAGGUAGUUGGUUAGGUAACGGCUUACCAAGCCAUUGAUCGGUACGGGUUGUGAGAGCAAGAGCCCGGAGAUGGAACCUGAGACAAGGUUCCAGGCCCUACGGGGUGCAGCGGGCGCGAAACCUCCGCAAUGUGAGAAAUCGCGACGGGGGGAUCCCAAGUGCCAUUCUUAACGGGAUGGCUUUUCAUUAGUGUAAAGAGCUUUUGGAGUAAGGGCUGGGCAAGACCGGUGCCAGCCGCCGCGGUAA